rnacentral:hammerhead_ribozyme from 1 species
AUCCAGCUGACGAAAUUCAAAUAGGACGAAACGCGCGUCCUGGAU